GCGGGCAUAGCUUAAUGGUAAAGCGCUAGCCUUCCAAGCUAGUUAUGCGGGUUCGAUUCCCGCUGCCCGCUCUA
rnacentral:tRNA from 1 species